rnacentral:lncRNA from 1 species
CACACACACACACACACACACACACACACCUGCCUGCAAAAAAAAAAAAAAAAAAGUUAAUGUUUAUCGUUUUUCUUCCAAAAUAUAGCAAUAAGUUAUAUAAUGCUUGGUGACUGCAAUGCACUAUCUAGUAUAUACUAACUGACAUUUUGUGACAUGAAAUGUUACUUUUGCCGCAAAUUAAUAUGUUGAAACAUGAUGUCCUUUAAGGGUGCCAAAUGACAAGAAUCUCAAAGGUAUACAUACAUACAUACAUACACACACACACACACCUGCCUGCAAAAAAAAAAAGUUAAUGUUUAUCGUUUUUCUUCCGAAAUAGCAAUAAGUUAUAUAAUGCUUGGUGACUGCAAUGCACUAUCUAGUAUAUACUAACAUGAAAUUUUACUUUUGCCUCAAAUUAAUAUGUUGAAACAUGAUGUCCUUUACCAGAGAGCUCGACUAGACAUGUUAUCAUCUCUUUAGUUAAUUAAUUACUAAUUAGCAGUCUAACCCAUGAAGGAAAAACUUAAAAGAAUGCGAAAGCGAUGGAAAAUUAUAGAGUACUACACCCUACUCAGGAUCAUAGUAUAUAUUACUCAUCUCUUGAGGAAAGCUACGACCCUAGCUAAUCCAUCAUGCAUAUUAAUGGGCGGGCGAUGGUCUUCUUCCUACAAUAUAUAUUAUUCCUUUUAAGUUCACUUUCACUAUCAGCACUGUCAACAAUCCAUACUCAGCAGCCCAUUAUACGUCAUUAUAUAUGGAAUCAAGGAUGAGACGAUCUGAUAAUUGAGCAUGCAUGCAUGAGAAUUCUGAUGCGGAGCAAGGCAUCCAAGUUUAAUUUAUGUACUAUUGUGGUUUUUUUAUUUUUUAUUUUUUUAUUUUUUUUAAAUUAAUGUGUUCUAUCUUGACUUUUGAAAGCCUUCAUACGUUCUUGAAUAACGGGUUUUUAGGAUCGGAGGACGUACACUUUUUUGACACAUAUUUUGGUAUAUUUUUGUUGAGCCAACUCCAUAAUGUAUUUCAACAAUCCAAUUGUCUAUGUUUUAGGUAUUCCCUCAAUGAUCAUCUCUACCAAAAAAUCCAAAAUUCUAAAUUGUAUGACCAUUAGGUUCAAUGCUAGUCAUUUUAAGUGUUUCUUUGUAACUGUAUCGUCCAUUUUCUUCACAACUAAUCAAUGUUUUAAUGGUUUUGAAAUUAUCUAUUUUUUUCCAAAGAUGGUCUAUGAUUGAUGAACUUAAGUAUAGAUAGUUUGGAUUCUUGAAAAUAGUUACGAAAUGAGAACCACACUAAAAAAUGUUCUAUAAUAUGAGCCAAAAUAGGUGUCACCCAAUCCUGACCCAUAUAUAUGAAAAACGUUGGGGUUGUAAGAUGUAUCAGUUGCAACAUGUUACUAGCAUCACAAGAAGAACACGUAAAUAUACAUGCACACGCAGUAAUGCAUGAGAAUGGAGAAUUGCACUGAUGGGGAAUUGAAUUGCAAGGUGUCUUCUCCUCUCUUCAAGCAGAAGAGUUCCAGCAAGUAAUAGGGAUUGCUCGGGUAAUAAUGGCUCGGGUCUAUGGCUAGGGAGAGCAGGGACAUCCUUAUUAUAGUUCUUAGGGUUUCCUCCAAUACCGCCUAUUAUGGUAAUUGGAUUGAAAAAUAUUACAUAAGGAGCAUAAUAUAUAUAUAUAUCUAUGUCAAGACGUACGUACAAUUUUUUUAUAUGUAACUCAAUAUAUAUAUAUAUAUAUUUGUUGGGGAAUUUUUAGGCUGAGCUGGAUUUGGGCUUUGACCGGUAUCCUUCGUUCUCUUGGUUUGUUUGAAUACCAAGUCUUGAGAUAUCUUGAAAUAAUUAGUGUGUCUUAGGAAGUAUUUCGGUUGAAUUAAUGGCUCAAAGACAACAUGAUUAAGCAAAUAAUGGCUUGCUUGUGAGACGUGGUGUGGAAACUAGAAGUUUAACAGUUUAGUGUAAGAGAGAACUUUGCAUGGUUAUGUGAUGUUCAGGGAUAGGUAAUCUGGACUUCCUAAGGUUCUAAGGGAACUUCUAUUGACUGAGGAAGAUCAAAGGAAGCUAGGAGGAACCUUAAGAUUGUAAGAAAAUGGCUAUCUCUAGGAUUCGAGUCUGCUUGCACUUAGAGAGUGAUUUCCCUUACUUGGUGCAAUACAACCUUGAAUUCCCUUCUCUCCCUCUCUCUAACAUUCUGUCCCCCCUGCAUUGAGUUGAACAUCCCCUUUUGUAGGUCCAUAGUCAUCUUUACAUGCUUCCUUAGAGAAUUUAUAGGCUUCUCUGUCUUCUCCCAUUAUAGGUAAGUCUUCAUUCCUCUUUUUCCUAGCGCAACUGCGACCUUCCUUUUUGGUGUAAAAAGAUGAGCAUCGCUACUCCCGUGAAGACAAUGGCAUGUGUUGUUUCCAAAGCGUUGCUUCCCUAAGUCAACUUCCAUACGUGUUAAUUCUGGUAAUGUGUUUCCUUGCUUUCGUCCAUCAUUCUCCUACGUGAGCUAGGAAGAGAAAGUCCACCUUUCUCCUCAUUAAAUGUGGGCUCUACGUUGGCCUUCGCGUGAACUUAAGGCUUUUAAGUCUAGUUUUAACUGGAUUGGUUGGCUUGCUAGGGAAAAAGGAAAAAAAGGUUUGAGUUUGUUCUCUCUCAGCCUUUGAUGCGUAAAAUAACUAAACACACAAAUUAAACCCUCUUGUUGACAAUUGUAGUAUGGAUAAGUAGGGAUCGUUCUUAAACCGGGGAUUAGGAGGGAUUGCUAAACACUCUAAACUGACUCAAAUACGUAAAACAAAGUUUAAAACACUAAACUAGACUCAAAGAAUGCAAAACUAAACUCUAAAACACUAAAACAAACCAAAAGACUCAAAACAGCACAAAAACACUCAAAACUGCCUUAAAAACACUUUCUGGGCAGUUUUGAACUCUAACACAAACUUGGACGAAUUUGGGUUAUAACUUGAAUCAAAGCACUUAAAAAGACAAACUAAAUUGAUUUCUAACUAACUCUUUAAAAUAAUGGGGGAUUUGGUUUUGACGAAAAAACAAGGAAAACAGAUUGUAACUAAAACAGAUUUUUAAAACGAAUUUGGAUGAAACUAUGGAUGGAAGGCUAGCUAGAGGGUUCUUCUCCACACACGACACACUUGCACAUAAACCAAUUUUCAGUUGUUCUUUCGAUAAAUCAUGAAACUCAACACCCCAGGUUAAUUAGGUCAGCUUAAAUUAACCUUCAAGUUCUCCUUAAGUUAUUGAAUUGGAUGGGAAAACGCAUACAACAAUUCAAAGCAUUCUUCAAAAGUUCUCUAUGUGAAAAGCACAAUAAAGAUACAAUCAAAGAUCAUUAAGCAUCAUGAAAACUAUAAGUAUUGACGAGGCAUUCAUUACUAUGAUGAGCAUGAAACUAGUGCCAAGAAUUCAUUUAACGCGAUCGUUUAUAAGCGACCUCCACUACUUGUGAAUAUAAGUUUGUAACUAUUAGGUGAAACUCCCUUAUACUCUAGCAUCAUAUUCAUGCAUGAAAACUAAGCGUGCACUCUUAAUAAACAUACACAAAUAAGUUAUCAAUCGAGCAGUUAAACAAAUUGAAUCCACAACUUAUGAAAUCACAACUGAAGGUAAUCAAUUCAUAUUGCAAGUAUGUACAUGGUUUUGAAUCCCCCCCUAACUAAGAGGGGUUUAGUUCCUCAUACUCACAAAACAAAGAUUAGUGAAUUGAAACAUUGAAAGCAAAGGAAAGAUUACACCUAAAACGUUCCAGCAAUCCUAAAUCGAAUGGCAAGCACGUCCAAGGGCUCUCCUCCUUCCUCUUUGCUGCGGCACAAUGGUUGGUGGUGAGUUUUGGGAGUUAUGGAUGGUGUAGAAGUAUAGAAUUGUGUUUAGGAUGGAUGUAUGGUGUGGCAAGAAGUGUUUUAGGUCAGAAACUAUGGAGAUUGGUGAAGGAUGGGCACGGCAAGGAAGGUUGAAUGGUUUCUGGCGUGAAUGGGAGUGAAUGGAUUCUUUGUGGCUGCAAAAAGGAGGUUUAUUUAAAGGAUUUCAGGAAUUAAAACCCUAGGUUAUUUAGGUAAACAGAAUUUAAGUUAUAAGCUUCUAGAAAUAGGAAAUCAAAUCAGAAACUUAAAGGAGAUUGACUAAAAGGUGUGGCAAGGGCAUAAAACACAAAAGGAAUGUGUUUUAAUGCAAGGAAAUAGGAAAUAACCCUCUCCCUUGCACGGCAAGGAAGAGGAAAGGUCAAGGGAGGUGCGGCAAAGGUCCAUAAGGAUUCUAGGGCCUUUGUUUUGUGUCCUAGAAUGCAUAUGAAGUCUUCAAAGUGGCUGGAACAUAAGGACUUUUAGAAUUAGGAAAGGUCAAACCAAAAUAGGAAACCUUGGCUUAACUUUCCUACUUCAAGUAGGAAUCCUUGUUGGAGUAGGAAUCCUUGUUCUUCUAGGAAUCCUCAUGUGAGUAGGAAUCCAUCUUCAAUUAGGAAUCCUUCAUUGAUUAGGAAUCCAAACUUCUUCAAAUCUUCAAUUACGUCCAUUCCUUUUGCUCCAAGCUUGUGAUAAUCAUUCCAAGCCCAAUUUUCUCCAAAAGGCACCAAAUUGCAUCCUUUGCCCUUAGAAUCUGAAAACACACAAAAGUGACUUUAAACACUAAAAUAACUAAGGAAACACAACGUAAAUGCACGAGAACAAGCCAAUUAAGUCGCAUAAAUAUGCUGCUAUCAGCCUUACCUAUGCAAAAUUCAAAGAUUGUGAGCUUGUAUCUUUGGGAUCCCAAGUAGCCCAAAGUCCUUCAUAAUCUUGACUCCAUGUAGGCUUGAUAAACUUCUGUAACCAUCCACACCAUGGUUGACUUGGCAAGCCCUAACACGUGGCUUGUUCUCAUUUUAGCGCGAAUAGUAGUCAGCAUUAUAAAGCUUGGCGUAGUGAAUAUGCAUGGAUUUGCAUGGGUAUGGCAUGAUUUAUACUAACAUCCGAUCCAUGAAUUAUCAUUACUUUAAUAGCAUGGUAUGAUUGUGUAUAUUUUCCUUUCUCGAUCCCGCACAUUUGCACGUGUUUAAGUUUGGCUGGGAACUUUUAUGAUAAUUGGACCUCGAGAUAUGAUUGGGUCUGCAUGUGACAUUUUUGAACUCUAAAAAUAUUUUCUUUACUGAUCUAGGUGUUACAUUUCUCAAACAUUGUCUCUAAAAUUUAGUCAAUGGGCACUAGGCAUCCUUUUCUAACUUAUAGAUACAACAACAACAAGGCCUUUUCCACUACUACAAUAUUAGCUUUAGGUGUCAGACGAUCCUGGUGGUUAAUAAGCCAUUCAGACGGAUAAAAGAUAUCCGACACAUAAUUUAUUUACUGUCGAAUUAAAGUUACUUUCUGUCGGAUAUAUCUGACAUAAAUUCCUGGCGGAUUUUUCCUGGCGGAUUUAACCACCAUAAAAUUAUUAUAACCCUCAAUAUUUUUGAAUUCUUUUCUUUUUUAAUAUUUUUAACAUAUUCUGGCGGUUUUUAAGUUAAUGGUGGCGGUUAUAACCG